GACGAACGCUGGCGGCGUGCUUAACACAUGCAAGUCGAACGGAAAGGCCCUGCUUUUGUGGGGUGCUCGAGUGGCGAACGGGUGAGUAACACGUGAGUAACCUGCCCUUGACUUUGGGAUAACUUCAGGAAACUGGGGCUAAUACCGGAUAGGAGCUCCUGCUGCAUGGUGGGGGUUGGAAAGUUUCGGCGGUUGGGGAUGGACUCGCGGCUUAUCAGCUUGUUGGUGGGGUAGUGGAUUACCAAGGCUUUGACGGGUAGCCGGCCUGGGAGGGUGACCGGCCACAUUGGGACUGAGCUGCGGCCCAGACUCGUACGGGAGGCAGCAGUGGGGAAUAUUGCACAAUGGGCGGAAGCCUGAUGCAGCCACGCCGCGUGCGGGAUGACGGCCUUCGGGUUGUAAACCGCUUUCGCCUGUGCCGAAGCGUGAGUGACGGUAAUGGGUAAAGAAGCACCGGCUAACUACGUG
rnacentral:rRNA from 1 species